rnacentral:rRNA from 1 species
UACGAAGGGGGCUAGCGUUGCUCGGAAUCACUGGGCGUAAAGCGCACGUAGGCGGGUUGUUAAGUCGGGGGUGAAAUCCUGGAGCUCAACUCCAGAACUGCCUUCGAUACUGGCGACCUUGAGUCCGGGAGAGGUGAGUGGAACUCCGAGUGUAGAGGUGAAAUUCGUAGAUAUUCGGAAGAACACCAGUGGCGAAGGCGGCUCACUGGCCCGGUACUGACGCUGAGGUGCGAAAGCGUGGGGAGCAAACA